UCUGCUCCCGGAGGUGUUGCAGGUGUGGCUGCUGUGUCACAUGUGCAUAGUAAGUGGCAGAGAGGAGAGAGGCUGUCUAAGUUCAGUGUUCUGACCUGUGAACAUCUGCAUGAUUAGUAGCCUAACAUU